AGACCCCAGGACCUUGCCACAUGAAUGAUCCCUACAAUUGUCUCAGUGCCUUCACAGCAGGGCAGCUGGCUUCCCCUCAGAGCGAGUGAGCCAAAGCAGAGAUCAAGGGAGAAGCCAUGAUGAUUCGUUUUUGCUAGUCUUGGAAUCAAACGCCACCACUCCCACCAUACUGUUUCCAUUAGGGGCAAGUCACGUAGGGCAGCCUACAUGCAGGAGAGAAAUUAAGCUCUGGCCCUUGAAGGGAAGGAUAGCAGAGAAUUUGUGUACAUAUUUAAAACCCACCACAUUAAGAUCUGUUUUAUUUGUUCGUUUUGCACUUACCCUCACAGUGAACAGAAAUAUCCUCAAGGGAAACAAAUAUGAAUGCCAAUGACAGAGAAUCCUUUUAAUAAAAUGUAACAUGAUACCUUCUCUUUUCUGCCACAAGACGCAAAAGAUUUUUCUCCUCUGAAUAGUGAGAGCCAGAGAAAAGAUUAAAAAUCUGGGCUCCAAAAUUCUAAGGAAGAAUAAAAACAUUUUCAGAUAAAAAUUCUUUCAAGAUCAUUCUCUUCUUUUCCAGUACAAAAAGUGAUAUCUUAAUAAAACAGCAUCAAUUGAAGAAACUGCUAAUGUUUAUUCAGAGUUACAUUCCUAGAUGCAAAUGAUGGGGGUCCAGUCUCAUUUCCUCUGUAAUAACAAUAGUUUAAUCAAGGAGGUAAUUCUUGAUGAAAAUAUAAUGCCCAACCUUUUAUAAAAAAAUUACCACAAACUUCUCGGUUAAUCAACGAGCAUUCAUGCUGUAAAUUAACAUUCAUGAUAUAAAACUUUAGAGUUCUAUCUAGGUUGAUUAAACAAGGCGAACCAGGACCCAUUCACUUUAAUUUGGUUUCAAUUUACUUCCAUACCAAGGAAAAGCUUCUACCUAUUAUUUAUAUUAUUUUUCUUUUGUAUAACACAUUUCAAACAUCACAAGAGGAAUGACCAUUUGAAGAACGGUAUGGGACAUGGAAAAACUUCUUUAGGGGCAUUACAUAUAAGAUUUUUAAAUUAUUUGGAAGUUUUUUUUUUAAAAAAUCCAGAAAUGAUUGUUUUGAUGCCCUCUUGUUUUGAAGUAAAAUCAAAAUACUGGUGAUUAUGCUUCCCUUGAAAUUGUCUUUGUUAUCAAAACUGGCAUCAGCACAUUGCAAUAUGCUGUCAUAAAGCCCACCUAUCUUUGUGAUCCCAAAAGUGAACUUGCAGGUGAAAGACAGUAGUUUAAAGUCAGAAUAUCCUCUUCCCUUCUUGAAAAUCACCCAAGACACACAAGGAGAAUGAUAAAUAAGGCAUGCAAGUGCCAUUUUUGGUGAAACUAGGCAAGAGAAAACUCCACACCACCAAAUAGAUGGAAAUUCUGCCAAAAGCAGAGGUCAGAUAGGGAUAUGUGUUAAAGGAAGAAGGAUCGAGAAAAUGUAAAAGUCGAAGAAGAGGAGCAGAGGAUCACAAUUUCACAAUUUUUGUACAUGGUUGAAAACAAGGCUGAAUGUGGGACAAAAAGCACUAACUGAGAAUAAGACAGGUUUGCCGAAGACACAAUAGCUUUACUAUUUAUGCACCAGAAAAAAACAGGACAAACAGUCACAGAACAUAAACCAUAAUCUAAGUCUCUCUAAACUUCAUGAGUUUUCUAAAUAUUUGAUCCCACAACCAUACAUUUUUUUCAGAUAUGCUUCUUUCUCUAGAAUUAAUAACACAUACUCUGGAAAUACCCGAACACAAUAUUCACAGACUUUUUAGGAGCCAUUUUUCUGCAGAUGAAAAGGUUUACUGGGGAUCCUUGAAGUGGAAUCCAUGGGUUCCUUCAUACAGUGCUUUUACUAAAAUUUUUUUCUAGAUAUUCUAAAAUUUGGUCUUGAUUUUAAAUCUUCAAGCUAAAAAUUCUUUAAGAGGACAUUAAAAUGGCAAUUAAUAGAGGCUUUUUUAUUUUCAGGCUUUAAUUAGGUACUAGUAUUAUUAGAUGGUGAUACAUGUAUAUUUCUGUAUUCUGUCUUCUUUUUGGAUUUUAUUGAACUAAACUGUCAAAAGCGCUGCCAGCCAGAAUUAAGACUGUAAUUAUUUAAGAUAUAAGAUCUUUGUUCUCGCCACCUUUCUAUUGGCAGAAAGCACGCCGAGGUGGCAUGUUCUUUGGUGGCUCAGGAACAUGAAGAUAAAGAAAGACCCUUCCAGAAAGCAGAGUCAAGAGCCAGAGAACUCUAAUAUGAGGACCUAGUCCCAGAGAGUAAAGCUCAGGUUAGUAAAGAAAAAAAUGCUCCAUUCCCAGGAUAAGGCGGCCAAGCGAUUCUUGCCCAUAGAACUUGAAUACUGUGAUAACCCAGGGACAGUCAUGUACCUGUUCUUCAUCCCCUGUUUGGAAUGGAUGUGCUUGUGGGGGUCAGCAUGUACCUGCUCCAUCAUGGCAUGCAGGAUGAAUAAGAGAAAAUAAUUCACAUUUCUCCCAGUCGAGAGGAACCGAAUUCAAAACCAAUAUAAUUGAGGUCCCAGAUGUCAUAAUUAGAUGAGAUUUUGGUAUGUCUUACUUAAAAGCAGUGUAUUUUGCACAUGAGAGGGAGCAAAAUAGAUAAAAGAGUGGUUGCGGUAGAAUAAAUUGUUCUCGAUUCUUCACGCCCACUCCAUUUUAAAAUUCACAUCCUUUGCCCAUGUGACUUUACCGUAACACCAACUCUAAUAGGCAGAGUGUAUUUUUCCACAUCCCUGAUGUUGGCCAUGUGACUUGUGUCUGCCAAUGAAGUGUGAGUAUAAACAGCAAGAACCACUGAAAGGCUGCAGAGGCAUCACGUGUUUCCAUUUGUCCUUUCCGGCUCCUGGCAUUCACCUUGUUCAGCAUGACCCCAGGAAGCCACUGGAUCAGAGAGGAUGAGACACAGGGAGCAGAACUGGAGUUAGAACUGCAGCCUGGAGCCUAGCUUAGUUGAGUUGCAGCUAACUUGUAGAUCCAAGAACAGGCGAUAAUGUUUGUUGUUUCAAGUACUCAGAUUUGGCUAGUUUGUUACCCAGAAAAAAAACAACAACAACAACAAAAAAAAAAACAGGAAGAAGAAACCACACAAAAAAAUGAAAAAUUUUAAGAAGAAUUAGAAAUAACUACAGAUCUUCCUUAACUUGCAACAGGGCUCCAUCCCAAUAAAUCCAUUGUAAAUUAAAAGUACCAUAUGUUGGAAUACAUUUAAUAUACCUGACAUACUGAACAUCAUAGUUUAGCCUAAUCUACCUUAAAUGUGCUCAGAACACUUACAUGAACACUUAUAUUAACCUCAUUGGGGCAAAAUCAAACAAAACCUGUUUUAUAAUAAAGCGUUGAUGGCUACAGCUCUGAUUUGACCCCUAGCCUGGGAGCCUCCAUAUGCCGCAAGGGUGGCCCUGAAAAGCAAAAUAAUAAUAAUAAUAAUAAUAAUGCAUUGAAAGUCUCAUGUACCUUAUUGAAUACUGUACUGAAAGUGAGAAAUAGAAUGGUUGUCUGGGUAGGGAACACUGCCCAGAAUCAUGAGGGAUUAUUGUACCAUGUACUGUUAGCCCAUGGAAAGACCAGAAUUCAAAAUUCGAAGUACAGUUUCUACUAAAUCCGUAUCACUUUCACACCAUCAUAAAGUUGAAAAUCAUAAGUUGAGCUAUCCUAUGUCAGGGACCACAAGUAUAACUGUAAAAUAUUAUAAUAACUGUGUAGACUUCUUUGCCCAACUAUGUGCAAAUAAAUUCGAAAAGUGAGAUAAACUGCAUAAUUUUCUAGAAAAGUUCAAUUUGUCCAAACUACCUCCAGGCAAGAGAGUAGUCUUAACACAUCCAGUUUCUAUAGAAGAAAUAGGAAAAAUUGUCCAAGAACUCUUUCUCAUCAACCUCACAUUAAAAGUAGUGGUCUCAGAGAGGUUCACAGGGGAAUUCUAAGAAAUCUUUUACACAAAUUUCCAACAUUACUUGACUGUUCUACAGCAUGAAAGAGGGGGGAAAACAUCUAAAUACUCUUUAGUGAAGUAAUAUUGAUACCAAAAUCCAGCAAAGAUUAACAGGAAAAGUUAAGUACAGAUCAAACUGAUAGAUGAAUAUUAACAGAAAAAUAUUUAGUAAAAUACUAGCAUGUAAUAUCUACCUGUAAUAGGUAACACAUCUGACCUAAUGAAGUUUAUUCUGGAGAUGCAAAAUAUAUCAAUGCUAAAAGAAAUUUCUUAAUAUGUGUUACCAUAUCUUAUUCUAAGAAUAAAAGUUGUAUUAGUUCUAUGAGUGAUAAUAGAUUUGAUACAUUCAGCACACAUUCUUACUCAAGAUUCUUAAUCAAAUAGACAUAGAUGGAUAUUCUCAACAUGAUUUAAUAAAUCUAUCUCAAUCCAGAGUUAGCCUUAUGCUUAGUGUAGAAGCAUACUUUCUAAAAAUAUGUAUAUGUUCAGGUGUAUAUAUUUGACUACAGUUUGACACCUGUCUACACUGCAAAGUGAUCACUACCUUCACUCUAGUUACCACCCACCACCAUGCCACUGACCCCCUUUACCCAUUCUGCUCCCACACGUCUUGCUAGCCCACUGCCUCUCUGGUAACCACCAAUCAGUUCUCUGUACUUAUGAGUUUGUUUUUGUUUGGUUUGGUUUUUUAGAGUCCACAUAUGAAUGAAAUCAUAGAAACAGGGCAUCUGCGUACAUGUGAACACUCAUUCAUAUCUCACGGGGGGCAUGCGUUGGUGGCAUUUAGUUACAUACAUAAGAUUAGAAUUUGUGGAUCAGAGUAUAUGAUGCUUCAAUUUUAUAAGACGAUGAAAAAUAGUUUUCCAAAGGGACUACACCAAAUGGACCCUCCCACCAACUGUGUACGGAAGAUCUUAUUGACUCACAUUCUCACAUGCAUUUAGUAUUGUCAAACUUCUUAAUUUUACGGCAGGCUGCAGUUAUUUCAGUCCAAAAGAAAUAACAUUAAUUAGACACGAUGUGCCCGGCCAUUUCACAUGAUAAUCUCAUUUUAACCCUAUAUUAUCACCAUCCUCAUUUUGCAAAUGAAUUUUAUUCAAAGCCGCAAAACUCCCCCAACCAGCAGUCCUUCCUCCCAACCUAGUAGAGAAGUUGAAAAUCAAUCAGCUGGGUUGAAGCAGCCCCCCAAGGAGCACAGAGGGGAGUAAGCAGAUUCUAGAACAUACGUAAAAUGUGUCCUUUGCAGCCUCCAGAAUACCUAGUGCUGAGACAGCUUUAAAUGUUAAGUAAAGAGUAUGGACUUGGGAGACCAAAAGACUGGAAAUGAAUCCAUGUCCCGUGGCUUACUAACUUAAAAGAACACAUAGGGAAAUUAAAAACAAGAUUUUUAGAGAACCUGGGAGUUCCCGUUGUGGCACAGCAGAAACAAAUCCAACCGGAACCAUGGGGUUGCAGGUUCCAUCCCUGGCCUCGCUCAGUAGGUUAAGGAUCUGGCAUCGCUGUCAGCUGUGGUGUAGGUCUCAGACAAGGCUCGGAUUGCUGUGGCAUAGGCCCGUGGCUACAGCUCCUAUUGGACCCCUAGCCUGGAACCUCCAUAUGCCACAGGUGCAGCUCCCCC
rnacentral:lncRNA from 1 species